GGCCAGAGGUUAAUGUAAGUUCCAUGCAAAGUCUUGGUUCAGGAGGAUCUUCAAGAUGGACAAGUCUCUGCUGAUGUUCUUGUUUCUUUUGUUCCUCGCAGUAACGGCGGUUGAAGG
rnacentral:sRNA from 1 species